UAGGUUGUACGAGAAAAAUAUGUUUGUUUGUCUGUAUUUGUAAUUACUCUAUUCUCCCACAGCUUCUGUUUUUCAACUCCUCUGCUGUCUCCUGUGUCCCCUACAGUCACUUGUUUGGGAAGUUUAGAAUGUGGCCCAGACGUGUCAGAAGAAUCCUGCCCCCAGCUAUGGAGAAAACUGCUGAGCAGAAACAUACCCAAGACUAGAUCACUGGUGCUGAAUCAAAACAGGGAUUUGUAUUGGGUGCAUUCGCGUCCCAUACGGACCAGAGCUGAACCGUGAAGAACGGAGCCCAG